AUUGAACGCUGGCGGCAGGCUUAACACAUGCAAGUCGAGCGGUAGCACAGGGGAGCUUGCUCCCUGGGUGACGAGCGGCGGACGGGUGAGUAAUGUCUGGGAAACUGCCUGAUGGAGGGGGAUAACUACUGGAAACGGUAGCUAAUACCGCAUAACGUCGCAAGACCAAAGAGGGGGACCUUCGGGCCCCUUGCCAUCAGAUGUGCCCAGAUGGGAUUAGCUAGUAGGUGGGGUAAUGGCUCACCUAGGCGACGAUCCCUAGCUGGUCUGAGAGGAUGACCAGCCACACUGGAACUGAGACACGGUCCAGACUCCUACGGGAGGCAGCAGUGGGGAAUAUUGCACAAUGGGCGCAAGCCUGAUGCAGCCAUGCCGCGUGUGUGAAGAAGGCCUUCGGGUUGUAAAGCACUUUCAGCGAGGAGGAAGGUGGUGAGCUUAAUACGUUCAUCAAUUGACGUUACUCGCAGAAGAAGCACCGGCUAACUCCGUG
rnacentral:rRNA from 1 species